rnacentral:lncRNA from 1 species
UGAAGAUUGCCUACCAGACCCUUGUCACGGACAUGGAAGUUGUUUUAACAGUUUGCAUGGUUACUUAUGUAGUUGCAAUGCUGGUUAUUCAGGAACAAAUUGUAAUAACAGUAAGAAAAGUAUUACUCUAGAGUAAAAUUAUAGCUAAAUAUAUAACAAAAAAAGAUUGACUAAAAUAUAAAGAUUUGUCAAAUGUGUCGUAUAUAGAUAAUUAUGAAGACAUAGAUUUCUAUUCAUCAUACAUCUAAUUUCUAUUUAUAAGGAUUUAAACUACUGGUACGUAAUAACGUACUUAGUGCAGUUUCUCAUUUCGCAGUUACAUUGUACUAGAGUUUAAAUAUUUCUAACAGCAUUGUCGUAAUGGUAAUUAAAUCAAUGAUGACUAAAAUGUUCAAGUCUCUUUCAUUAAAAAAAUACAACCAUAUUGUACUCUUUCAGAUGUACAUCGUAAGUUCAAUGGAAGAAGAUUUCUAAGAUUGUAGCUUAUUAUGUUAUGUAUACUUUAAUGAUUAUAUGCAUAGUUACAGUUUAUAAGAGUAUUUAUCUUGGUAAAUAUCAAUGUAUAUAUAUUCAUUGAAAUACAAUCUCUUUGAGGAUUACAAACUUUAUGUGUAAACUAUAAAAUUGAGAAUUGAAAUGGGGAAUGUGUCAUAGAGACAACAACCCGACCAAAGAGCAGACAACUAGUCUUCCGUGCAACUAAUGUUUGCUAAGAAUUAUUUGUCUAUUCCUGAAAAAAUCAAACAAGUUAAUACUGAUUGCGUAAACUGUGAAAAACUAUAUUUAAGGGGUUAUACCUUGGUCCAAGAAGAUAACUCUUAAAAUCAGUUAUGCGUUUGUAAAAGUCAAGUUUUGUCAAUGAAUUUUAAGCAUUUACCUGAAACAGAUUGGAAAUAAUCUAUGUAUCCUAGAAGCUUAGAACACAUUUAUGAAAAUGGCUGACACAAACGUACUGAUGAUUGUAAGAGUUAUUUCCCUUAACCUACGUCUACCUUCUUAAGGUAACAAUUAAAUGCAAUACUGGCUUUGUUUUGUAAACAAAAUUGAAAGCGAAUAAUGAAAGCAAAAUAUUUACACCACAGUAAGAAAAUAAAAACCUGAUCAGUCAAUUUUGAAAGUGAUUAGUUCCUACUUUUCUUUUUGGUUACAACAUUUGUAACUUGAAGUCUUAAUAUCUGCAAAAGAUAAACUUUACACUCAAAACAUCUAAAAACAUUUUAAAUUUUACAUGAUAUUACAAUUAAUUCAAUCUUCAAUCAUUCAACAAAAAAUAGGUAACACUCCACAACGAUGAAAAUAUAAUUUUCAGUUAAAUGUUUAUCAAUCCAUUUGAUAACAUAAUAUUUUAGAUUGUUCACCUGAUCCUUGCAAUGGUCACGGUAUGUGCCAUUAUACCCAGAUAGGAUUUACAUGUACAUGCAACAAAGGAUACACAGGUCAAACGUGUGCUUCAGGUA